CGGUUGAUCCUGCCGGACCCCACUGCUAUCGGGAUAGGACUAAGACAUGCUAGUCGAGCGCCUCCCAAGCUAUUGGAGGCGCGGCGCACAGCUCAGUAACACGUGGCUAACCCGCCCUUGGGACGGGACAACCCCCGGGAAACUGGGGGUAUGUCCCGUUAGGUGAAAAACUCUGGAAUGAUUUUUCGCCCAAAAGACGCCUACGCCAUGCUCGUAGGCGUCGCCCAAGGAUGGGGCCGCGUCCGAUCAGGUUGUUGGUGAGGUAACGGCUCACCAAGCCUUUUACCGGUGCGGGCCGUGGGAGCGGGAGCCCGGAGAUGGGCACUGAGACAAGGGCCCAGGCCCUACGGGGCGCAGCAGUCGCGAAAACUUUGCAAUACACGAAAGUGUGACAGGGCUAUCCCGAGUGCCAUCCGCUGAGGAAGGCUUUUACCCAGUGUAGAAAGCUGGGAGAAUAAGGAGAGGGCAAGACUGGUGUCAGCCGCCGCGGUAAUACCAGCUCUCCGAGUGGUGUGGAUGUUUAUUGGGCCUAAAGCAUCCGUAGCUGGCUGGGCAAGUCCCCUGUUAAAUCCACCGAUUUAAUCGUUGGAGUGCGGGGGAUACUGUUCGGCUAGGGGACGGGAGAGGCCGACGGUAUUUCCGGGGUAGGGUGAAAUCCUAUAAUCCCGGGAAGACCACCAGUGGCGAAGGCUGUCGGCUAGAACGCGCCCGACGGUGAGGGAUGAAAGCUGGGAGAGCGAACCGGAUUAGAUACCCGGGUAGUCCCAGCUGUAAACGAUGCAGGCUAGGUGUUUGGGCGGCCACGUGCCGCUCUAGUGCCGCAAGGAAGCUGUUAAGCCUGCCGCCUGGGGAGUACGGCCGCAAGGCUGAAACUUAAAGGAAUUGGCGGGGGAGCAC
rnacentral:rRNA from 1 species